rnacentral:rRNA from 1 species
GACGAACGCUGGCGGCGUGCUUAACACAUGCAAGUCGAACGGAAAGGCCCUGCUUGCCGGGUACUCGAGUGGCGAACGGGCGAGUAACACGUGGGCGAUCUGCCCUGCACUUCGGGAUAAGCCUGGGAAACUGGGUCUAAUACCGGAUAGGAGCCAUUUUUAGUGUGAUGGUUGGAAAGUUUUUUCGGUGUAGGAUGAGCUCGCGGCCUAUCAGCUUGUUGGUGGGGUAAUGGCCUACCAAGGCGGCGACGGGUAGCCGGCCUGAGAGGGGGGACGGCCACAUUGGGACUGAGAUACGGCCCAGACUCCGACGGGAGGCAGCAGUGGGGAAUAUUGCACAAUGGGCGCAAGCCUGAUGCAGCGACGCCGCGGGGGGGAUGACGGCCUUCGGGUUGUAAACUCCUUUCGCUAGGGACGAAGCUUUGUGUGACGGUACCUAGAGAAGAAGCACCGGCUAACUACGUG